GACGAACGCUGGCGGCGUGCUUAACACAUGCAAGUCGAACGGAAAGGCCCUGCUUUUGUGGGGUGCUCGAGUGGCGAACGGGUGAGUAACACGUGAGUAACCUGCCCUUGACUUUGGGAUAACUUCAGGAAACUGGGGCUAAUACCGGAUAGGAGCUCCUGCUGCAUGGUGGGGGUUGGAAAGUUUCGGCGGUUGGGGAUGGACUCGCGGCUUAUCAGCUUGUUGGUGGGGUAGUGGCUUACCAAGGCUUUGACGGGUAGCCGGCCUGAGAGGGUGACCGGCCACAAUGGGACUGGAAAACGGGCCAGACUCCUACGGGGGGGAAGAAGGGGGGAUAUUUCACAAAUGGCGGGAACCUGAAGGAGCAACGCCGCGGGCGGGAAGACGGGCCUCGGGUUGUAAACCCGUUUUGGCUGGUACGAAGCGGUAGGUACGGGAAAUGGUAAAGAAGCACCGGCUAACUACGGUC
rnacentral:rRNA from 1 species